CUCGCGCUCUCUGUCUGGGCCAAUGGGGAUAACCGCAGUCGAGAGGCUGGCUUCGCUGGAGAGGUGGCGCAGCUGUUUCCUUCGAAACUUUUUAUCAGUGACUUUGGUGAAGGCUGAGAAAGUUGCAACAAAUCUGCAGAUGACACACAACUUCUAAGG